AAGUUGUCUGCUGCUUGCUGCUUGUUUUCUAAUCUUGGUCAUUGUUUGUAUGUCUUUUGGUACCUUGAAGUUGAUCCAUUACUUGUGUAAGUUCCAUUUGAUCCACUAACUAUUUGCUAUUGAUUAUUCAGUAAGGCAAUCUCCAUAUUCGAACAUGAUGAACGUUUUAAAGCUGUUGAGCGAGCUAAAGACCGUGAGGACUUUUUUGAAGAUUAUGUGGAGGAACUUGAGAAAAAGGUGAAGCUCCUUUUGCAGAACUUUCUUGAGCAUGCGAAGGCAUUGGAGGAGCAGAAACGCAAUAGAGUGGAGUACUUAGAAUUUUUAAAAUCCUGUGACUUUAUUAAGGCUAGUAGCCAGUGGCGGAAAGUUUAGGACCGCUUGAAAACUGAUGAAAGAUGCUCCCGCCUUGAGAAAAUCGAUCGCUUGGAGAUUUUCCAGGAAUAUAUACGUGAUUUAGAGAGCGAAGAGGAGGAGCAAAGGAAACUGCGGAUGUUCCGAAAACUGAUGGAAGAGCAUGUUGCUGCGGGAAUACUUAAUGCAAAAACUAACUGGCGUGAUUAUUGCAUCAAAAUUAAAGAUUUUGCUGCAUAUCUGGCUGUCUCAUCAAAUACUUCAGGAUCAACAGCAAAAGACUUAUUUACAGAUGUUAUGGAUGAUCUAGAGAAACAGGUGAAAUAGGUGACACACGUAUUGAAUUGUGUCAACUACAUUUGUUACACUAAGCCAUAUUUAUAGACUUUACACUACAAUCCCUUUUCAUUUGCUUUCACUUAAUGAAGGUCUGAAUCUGAAUGGUUAAGAUAUCA